GACGAACGCUGGCGGCGUGCUUAACACAUGCAAGUCGAACGGAAAGGCCCUGCUUUUGUGGGUUGCUCGAGUGGCGAACGGGUGAGUAACACGUGAGUAACCUGCCCUUGACUUUGGGAUAACUUCAGGAAACUUGUGCUAAUACCGGAUAGGAGCUCCUGCUGCAUGGUGGGGGUUGGAAAGUUUCGGCGGUUGGGGAUUGACUCGCGGCUUAUCCGCUUGUUGGUGGGGUAGUGGCUUACCAAGGCUUUGACGGGUAGGCGGCAUGAGAGGGUGACCGGAGAAAUGGGGACUGAGAGACGGACCAGAAUACAACGGGAGGCAGAAGUGGGGAAUAUUGCAAAAUGGGCGGAAGCGUGAUGAAGAAACGCCGCGAGCGGGAUGAAGGCCUUCGGGUUGUAAACAGAUUUCGCAUGUGACGAAGCGUGAGUGACGGUAAUGGGUAAAGAAGCACCGGCUAACUACGUG
rnacentral:rRNA from 1 species